CAAAUUUAAUUAAUUCAUCAAAAGAGCCAUUGUUCUUAGUCCUCUCAAUAUUUGAAUAAUUCAAAUUACAAAAGUUUGAUUCAGUAUAAAUACUGUUACAUUUUUGACAGAGUUUAUAGCAUCUGAAUUUCUCCGCAGUGAUAAGAUCUUAUUACUAAGAUCUUGUUACUAUUUUAUCUUGAUCUCUCAGCUACAAGUGGACAAGAUGAAGUUGCAGUAUAUUGUUGCCCUGGCGACAGCUCUAGUUGUGAUGAGUCUAAUAACCGUCGUCAAAUGUGUUCCCAUAAUAGCUUCAUCAGGUAGACCCACGCCGAAACUUCCCUGAAACACUUAACACUGGGAAAUUCUUCUUUUGGGAACGCAUUUGUUUUGAAAAACUGUAUUUGAAAGAAAUAAUUUCAUGUUAAUUUAAAUAAAAAACUUUAAACAUUUCACACUGGAAUUCAACCUUUUAAAACUAAUUUGUUUUGAAAUAUUGUAUUAUUGAAAUAAAUGAUUUUUUGAUGUGAUUAAAAUCUCUGAUACCCGAAAA